CCUACGGGAGGCAGCAGUGAGGAAUAUUGGUCAAUGGGCGGAAGCCUGAACCAGCCAAGUCGCGUGAGGGAUUAAGGCCCUGCGGGUCGUAAACCUCUUUUGCCGGGGAGCAGUGGUCCGGACGCGUCCGGACCGGGAGAGUACCCGGAGAAAAAGCAUCGGCUAACUCCGUGCCAGCAGCCCCGGUAAUACGGAGGAUGCGAGCGUUAUCCGGAUUUAGUGGGUUUAAAGGGUGCGUAGGCGGGCAUUUAAGCCGGCGGUCAAAUGUCGGGGCUCAACCCCGGCCUGCCGUCGGAACUGGGUGCCUUGAGUGGGCGAGAAGUAUGCGGAAUUCCUAGUGUAGCGGUGAAAUGCGUAGAUAUUAGGAGGAACACCAGUGGCGAAGGCGACUUUCUGGACAGUAACUGACGUUGAGGCACGAAAGUGUGGGGAGCAAACAGGAUUAGAUACCCUAGUAGUC
rnacentral:rRNA from 1 species